rnacentral:rRNA from 1 species
GGCGAACGGGUGAGUAACGCGUGAGCAAUCUACCUUAGUUACAGGGAUAGCCCGAGGAAACUCGGAUUAAUACCUGAUAUUCUUUAUUUCUCGCAUGAGAAUAAAAGGAAAGGUCAGCCGAACUAAGAUGAGCUCGCGUUCUAUCAGCUAGUUGGUGAGGUAAAAGCUCACCAAGGCUACGACGGAUAGCUGGUCUGAGAGGACGAUCAGCCACACUGGGACUGAGACACGGCCCAGACUCCUACGGGAGGCUGCAGCAGGGAAUAUUGUGCAAUGAACGAAAGUUUGACACAGCGACACCGCGUGUGGGAUGACGGAUCUAGGUUUGUAAACCACUUUCAGGAGGGAAGAAAAUGACGGUACCUCCAUAAGAAGCCCCGGCCAACUACGUGCCAGCAGCCGCGGUAAUACGUAGGGGGCGAGCGUUGUCCGGAUUUAUUGGGCGUAAAGAGCUCGUAGGCGGUUCAACAAGUCGGUCGUGAAAGUUCAGGGCUCAACCCUGAAAUGUCGAUCGAUACUGUUGUGACUAGGAUACGGUAGAGGUGAGUGGAAUUCCGAGUGUAGCGGUGAAAUGCGUAGAUAUUCGGAGGAACACCAAUAGCGAAGGCAGCUCACUGGGCCGCUAUCGACGCUGAGGAGCGAAAGCUAGGGGAGCAAACAGGAUUAGAUACCCUGGUAGUCCUAGCUGUAAACGAUGGAUACUAGACGUAGGAACUGGAUUGACGGUUUCUGUGUCGCAGCUAACGCGUUAAGUAUCCC